AUACUUACCUGUUAGGAGAGAUACUGUGAUCGUUGAGGCAGUAUUCUCAGGGUGAGGCCUCCCCAUUGCACUUCAGGAGGGAGGUUUCCCCAAAUUUGGGAAAGUCGACCGUGAAAUUUGUAGAAUGCAGGAGACGAAUGACAGGCUGG
ensembl:snRNA U1 U1 spliceosomal RNA